CUUUUUCUUGGUGCACUUGUCUAUGUCCAGCUGCACAACAAGAUGAGACUGGUCAUUGUCAUUUUCUGAGCUGUGAACGGGCAGGAAGCUGCACUACAAGAUGAGGCUGGUCAUUGUCAUUUUCUGAGCUGUGAACGGGCAGGAAGCUGCACAACAUGAUAAGGCUGGUCAUUGUCAUUUUCUGAGCUGUGAACGGGCAGGAAGCUGCACAACAAGAUGAGACUGGUCAUUGUCAUUUUCUGAGCUGUGAACGGGCAGGAAGCUGCACUACAAGAUGAGGCUGGUCAUUGUCAUUUUCUGAGCUGUGAACGGGCAGGAAGCUGCACAACAUGAUAAGGCUGGUCAUUGUCAUUUUCUGAGCUGUGAACGGGCAGGAAGCUACACAUUGAGAUGAGGAUGGUCAUUGUCAUUUUCUGAGCUGCGAACGGGCAGAAAGCUAGAAAAGGAUAUGACGAUGGUCAUUGUCAUUUCCUGAGCUGUGAACGGGCAGAAAGCUUACCUGUGCAAAUUGUGUCAUCUGCCAUUCCCUUCAAGCUUCGAUGAACGUGGCUUCAUAGCAUGUUUGCACACUCUUGCCAAAUCACAAUAACCCUAACUGCGGCGUGACAGAAAGCUACGGAUGUACAUAUCCGGUAGCAGCUCAAACAAUGCAGCAGCCAGCAUUCUGCUGGUAUAUGCGAGCGACGGUUGCUGUUGGAAUUGUCCUGAGCAGAGAAUCGCUUUCCUGAGCUUAGUGACCUACCGUGUAUCACAUGAUCAGUACAGCCGCUAGACCUGUGUUGACGGAUGCAGGAGUUCACCUGCCAAGUUGUCACUAUAGAUCUUUGAGGGUAUCAUGGAUAUGGAUCCUGCUCCUGCAACAUUGCCCGCGUUGAUGGCCGCUUAGUAGCAGGCCAGUAGCUACCCCAGCAGAUAUAGCAGCUGAGCCCACCAUCGCUAACACUGCAACGGACACAGAAGUAAGAGCAGCUGCCAUUGCAGCUAGCACUGGAGCAGACACAGCGGCAAGAGAAGUUGCCAUGGCAGCAACACACUCUGCAUCUGCUGCACCAGACACUGAGUGCAUUAGUUUGAAAACCAGUGGACACACUGCUCACAGCAGCAAUGCCAAGCAUCAGUCAGAGUGGCUCAGUCUUCAGCAGCAGCAGCAGCAGCAGCCUGCAGUGCACUUUACAAAGUGAGCACCUUAAAAAAACAAGUACUAGUAAUCUGAUUUAUUUCGAAUAUGAUUAUUAUUGAAAAAAACGAGCGCGUACUCGAAUCCAAUAUUCGGUAUAAUUGUCUCACCCCUAACGAUAAAUAAAUCCAGCAAGUGAAGCCAUUGCCCACAAGAAUUGGGCAUUUUCUAUACAGCAUACGCCCCAGCAGCGAAUCAUCCAGGAACAGAAUGUCCUCCAUUGCAUCUUCAUUGUUGUUUUACAUGGUACAUGCAUUUACCACAGAAAUCUUCAGUUUCAGAGCAGCAGUCAGUAGAUAUUGAAAUGAAGACUGUUCGGUGAACAUGAUCUCAGUGCCAACUUUCACCCCUAUUUAUCAUACUUGUUUUUAAUGUCCUGUAUUGAUAUCUACAGCGU